rnacentral:tRNA from 1 species
GCUGUGAUGGCCGAUUGGUUAAGGCGUUUGACUCGAAAUCAAAUGGGCUAUGCCCGCGCAGCUUCGAAUCAGCUAACAGAG